rnacentral:rRNA from 1 species
AUUGAACGCUGGUGGCAUGCCUAACACAUGCAAGUCGAACGAGUGGCGGACGGGUGAGUAAUGUCUGGGAAACUGCCUGAUGGAGGGGGCUAACUCCUGGAACCGGUACCUAAUCCCCCAUACCAUCAGCUUUUCCCAGAUGGGAUUAGCUAGUUGGUGGGGUAACGGCUCACCAAGGCGACGAUCCCUAGCUGGUCUGAGAGGAGGACCAGCCACACUGGAACUGAGACACGGUCCAGACUCCUACGGGAGGCAGCAGUGGGGAAUAUUGCACAAUGGGCGCAAGCCUGAUGCAGCCAUGCCGCGUGUAUGAAGAAGGCCUUCGGGUUGUAAAGUACUUUCAGCGGGGAGGCGUUACCCGCAGAAGAAGCACCGACUAACUCCGUGCCAGCAGCCGCGGUAAUUC